rnacentral:rRNA from 1 species
CAGCGCCGCGGGAAUACGGAGGGAGCUAGCGUUGUUCGGAAUUACUGGGCGUAAAGCGCACGUAGGCGGCUUUGUAAGUUAGAGGUGAAAGCCUGGAGCUCAACUCCAGAAUUGCCUUUAAGACUGCAUCGCUUGAAUCCAGGAGAGGUGAGUGGAAUUCCGAGUGUAGAGGUGAAAUUCGUAGAUAUUCGGAAGAACACCAGUGGCGAAAGCGGCUCACUGGACUGGUAUUGGCGCUGAGGUGCGAAAGCGUGGGGAGCAAACAGGAUUAGAUACCCCAGUAGUCCCUGUCUCUUAUACA